UACGUAAGGGGCGAGCGUUGUCCGGAUUCACUGGGCGUAAAGGGCGCGUAGGCGGCGAUACAAGUCAGAGGUGAAAGCUACGGGCUCAACCCGUAAACUGCCUUUGAAACUGUAUUGCUUGAAUAUUGCAGAGGAAAGUGGAAUUCAUGGUGUAGCGGUGAAAUGCGUAGAUAUCAUGGAGAACACCUAUGGCGAAGGCAGCUUUCUGGGCAAAUAUUGACGCUGAGGCGCGAAAGCUAGGGUAGCGAACAGG
rnacentral:rRNA from 1 species